rnacentral:rRNA from 1 species
AAUAUUGGACAAUGGGGGCAACCCUGAUCCAGCAAUGCCGCGUGGGUGAUGAAGGCCUUCGGGUUGUAAAGCCCUUUCGCACGCGACGAUGAUGACGGUAGCGUGAGAAGAAGCCCCGGCUAACUUCGUGCCAGCAGCCGCGGUAAUACGAAGGGGGCUAGCGUUGUUCGGAAUUACUGGGCGUAAAGGGCGCGUAGGCGGCGCAUCAAGUCGGGCGUGAAAGCCCCGGGCUCAACCUGGGAACUGCGUUCGAGACUGGCGCGCUGGAGUUCGGGAGAGGAGAGUGGAAUUCCCAGUGUAGAGGUGAAAUUCGUAGAUAUUGGGAAGAACACCAAUGGCGAAGGCAGCACUCUGGGCUGGUAUUGACGCUGAGGAGCGAAAGCAUGGGUAGCGAACAGGAUUAGAUACCCUGGUAGUCCACGCUGUAAACGAUGAGUGCUAGACGUUGGGGCCCCUAGGGCUUCGGUGUCGCCGCUAACGCAUGAAGCACUCCGCCUGGGGAGUACGGCCGCAAGGUUAAAACUCAAAGGAAUUGACG